rnacentral:rRNA from 1 species
UACGGAGGGGGCUAGCGUUGUUCGGAAUUACUGGGCGUAAAGCGCGCGUAGGCGGACCUGCAAGUCGGGGGUGAAAGCCCGAGGCUCAACCUCGGAACUGCCUUCGAUACUGCGGUGCUCGAGGACUGGGGAGGAGACUGGAAUUUACGGUGUAGCAGUGAAAUGCGUAGAGAUCGUAAGGAAGACCAGUGGCGAAGGCGGGUCUCUGGACAGUUCCUGACACUGAGGCACGAAGGCCAGGGGAGCAAACAGG